rnacentral:rRNA from 1 species
UACGUAGGGGGCUAGCGUUGUCCGGAGUUAUUGGGCGUAAAGAGCGUGUAGGCGGCCCGGUAAGUCCGCUGUGAAAGUCGGGGGCCCAACCCUCGAAUGCCGGUGGAUACUGUCGGGCUAGAGUGCGGAAGAGGCGAGUGGAAUUCCUGGUGUAGCGGUGAAAUGCGCAGAUAUCAGGAGGAACACCGAUUGCGAAGGCAGCUCGCUGGGACGUCACUGACGCUGAGACGCGAAAGCGUGGGGAGCGAACAGG